rnacentral:rRNA from 1 species
GGGUGAAGGAACUAGGCAAAAUGGUGCCGUAACUUCGGGAGAAGGCACGCUGGUGUGUAGGUGAAGUCCCUGCGGAUGGAGCUGAGACCAGUCGAAGAUACCAGCUGGCUGCAACUGUUUAUUAAAAACACAGCACUGUGCAAACACGAAAGUGGACGUAUACGGUGUGACGCCUGCCCGGUGCCGGAAGGUUAAUUGAUGGGGUUAUCCGUAAGGAGAAGCUCUUGAUCGAAGCCCCGGUAAACGGCGGCCGUAACUAUAACGGUCCUAAGGUAGCGAAAUUCCUUGUCGGGUAAGUUCCGACCUGCACGAAUGGCGUAAUGAUGGCCAGGCUGUCUCCACCCGAGACUCAGUGAAAUUGAACUCGCUGUGAAGAUGCAGUGUACCCGCGGCAAGACGGAAAGACCCCGUGAACCUUUACUAUAGCUUGACACUGAACAUUGAGCCUUGAUGUGUAGGAUAGGUGGGAGGCUUUGAAGCGUGGACGCCAGUCUGCGUGGAGCCAACCUUGAAAUACCACCCUUUAAUGUUUGAUGUUCUAACGUUGGCCCCUUACCGGGGUUGCGGACAGUGUCUGGUGGGUAGUUUGACUGGGGCGGUCUCCUCCCAAAGCGUAACGGAGGAGCACGAAGGUUAGCUAAUCCUGGUCGGACAUCAGGAGGUUAGUGCAAUGGCAUAAGCUAGCUUGACUGCGAGCGUGACGGCGCGAGCAGGUGCGAAAGCAGGUCAUAGUGAUCCGGUGGUUCUGAAUGGAAGGGCCAUCGCUCAACGGAUAAAAGGUACUCCGGGGAUAACAGGCUGAUACCGCCCAAGAGUUCAUAUCGACGGCGGUGUUUGGCACCUCGAUGUCGGCUCAUCACAUCCUGGGGCUGAAGUAGGUCCCAAGGGUAUGGCUGUUCGCCAUUUAAAGUGGUACGCGAGCUGGGUUUAGAACGUCGUGAGACAGUUCGGUCCCUAUCUGCCGUGGGCGCUGGAGAAUUGAGGGGGGCUGCUCCUAGUACGAGAGGACCGGAGUGGACGCAUCACUGGUGUUCGGGUUGUCAUGCCAAUGGCACUGCCCGGUAGCUAAAUGCGGAAGAGAUAAGUGCUGAAAGCAUCUAAGCACGAAACUUGCCCCGAGAUGAGUUCUCCCUGAGACUUUAAGUCUCCUGAAGGAACGUUGAAGACGACGACGUUGAUAGGCCGGGUGUGUAAGCGCAGCGAUGCGUUGAGCUAACCGGUACUAAUGAACCGUGAGGCUUAACCUUACAACGCCGAAG